GACGAACGCUGGCGGCGUGCUUAACACAUGCGAGUCGAACGGAAAGGCCCUGCUUUUGUGGGGUGCUCGAGUGGCGAACGGGUGAGUAACACGUGAGUAACCUGCCCUUGACUUUGGGAUAACUUCAGGAAACUGGGGCUAAUACCGGAUAGGAGCUCCUGCUGCAUGGUGGGGGUUGGAAAGUUUCGGCGGUUGGGGAUGGACUCGCGGCUUAUCAGCUUGUUGGUGGGGUAGUGGCUUACUAAGGCUUUGACGGGUAGCCGGCCUGAGAGGGUGACCGGCCACAUUGGGACUGAGAUACGGCCCAGACUCCUACGGGAGGCAGCAGUGGGGAAUAUUGCACAAUGGGCGGAAGCCUGAUGCAGCAACGCCGCGUGCGGGAUGACGGCCUUCGGGUUGUAAACCGCUUUCGCCUGUGACGAAGCGUGAGUGACGGUAAUGGGUAAAGAAGCACCGGCUAACUACGUG
rnacentral:rRNA from 1 species